rnacentral:rRNA from 1 species
UACGUAUGGUGCGAACGUUGUUCGGAAUCACUGGGCUUAAAGAGCACGUAGGCGGUCAAGUAAGUCUGAUGUGAAAUCCCUCGGCUUAACCAAGGAAUGGCAUCAGAAACUGCUUGGCUAGAGUGUAGGAGGGGAGAGUGGAAUUCCUGGUGGAGCGGUGAAAUGCGUAGAUAUCAGGAGGAACGCCGGUGGCGAAAGCGACUCUCUGGCCUACAACUGACGCUGAGGUGCGAAAGCUAGGGGAGCAAACGGG